UACGUAGGGGGCGAGCGUUGUCCGGAGUUACUGGGCGUAAAGCGCACGCAGGCGGUCAGCCAAGUGUGGGGUGACAGGUCACGGCUUAACCGUGGCAGUGCCUUGCAGACUGGCUGACUUGAGGGCCAAAGAGGGACAGGGAACUCCAGGUGUAGUGGUGAAAUGCGUAGAUAUCUGGAAGAACACCGAUGGCGAAGGCACUGUCCUGGGGGGUACCUGACGCUGAUGUGCGAAAGCUAGGGGAGCGAACGG
rnacentral:rRNA from 1 species